rnacentral:tRNA from 2 species
GCCGGGGUCUCCUAGCCUGGCAGGGAGCAAGCCUGGAAAGCUUGUGGCCCCUUGGGCCACGGGGGUUCAAAUCCCCCUCCCGGCGCCA